rnacentral:lncRNA from 1 species
AGAAUGGACAUAAGGAGGAAGGGUAUUGUAGAUACCAGUCUAAUAGGUGAUACUGGUGAUAGAAUUUCUGUGCUUAAUCGGGUAAAGAAUGUGAGAGAAGCCAAACAGCAAAAAUUAAGAUGUUUGUACACCAAUGCAAGGAGCCUAGAUAACAAAAUGGAGGAACUAGAGCUAUUGGUGCAGGAAGUGAAACCAGAUAUUAUAGGGAUAACAGAAACAUGGUGGAAUAGUAGUCACGACUGGAGUACAGGUAUUGAAGGGUAUGUGCUGUUUAGGAAAGAUAGAAAUAUAGGCAAAGGUGGUGGAGUAGCAUUGUAUAUCAAUGAUGAGGUAGACUGUAAAGAAAUAAGAAGUGAUGGAACAGAUAAGACAGUCUGUCUGGGCAAAAAUCACAUUGGGGAAGAAAGCUACUAGAGCCUCGCCUGGGAUAGUGCUUGGGGUGUGCUAUAGCCCACCAGGAUCUGAUUUGGAUAUGGAUAGAGACCUCUUUAAUGUUUUUAAUGAAGUAAAUACUAAUGGGAAUUGUGUGAUCAUGGGAGACUUUAACUUCCCAGAUAUAGACUGGAGGACAAGUGCUAGUAGUAAUAAUAGGGCUCAGAUUUUCCUGGAUGCGAUAGCUGAUGGAUUCCUUCACCAGGUAGUUGCUGAACCAACAAGAGGGGAUGCCAUUUUAGAUUUGGUUUUGGUGAGUAGUGAGGAUCUCAUAGAAGAAAUGGUUGUAGGGGGCAACCUUGGUUCGAGUGAUCAUGAGCUAAUUCAGUUCAAACUAAAUGGAAGGAUAAACAAAACUAGAUCUGUGACUAGGGUUUUUGAUUUCAAAAGGGCUAACUUUAAAAAAUUAAGGAAAUUAGUUAGGGAAGUAGAUUGGACUGAAGAACUUGUGGAUCUAAAGGCAGAGGAGGCUUGGAUUUACUUCAAGUCAAGGUUGCAGAAACUAUCAGAAGCCUGCAUCCCAAGAAAGGGGAAAAAACUCAUAGGCAGGAGUUGUAGACCAAGCUGGAUGAGCAAGCAUCUCAGAGAGGUGAUUAAGAAAAAGCAGAAAGCCUACAAGGAGUGGAAGAUGGGAGGGAUCAGCAAGGAAAGCUAUCUUAUUGAGGUCAGAACAUGUAGGGAUAAAGUGAGAAAGUCCAAAAGCCAUGUAGAGUUGGACCUUGCAAAGGGAAUUAAAAC